rnacentral:snRNA from 1 species
AACACUCUGUAAAACAUUCUUCAAUAAAAAAUAAAAUCUGUUCUUAUCAGCUUAAUAUCUGAUACGAUCCCCAUGUGGGAUCCUCGAUAUUAAACUGAUUUUUGCAACAUGGCGAAGUGCUAGGAGCUUGCUCCACCUUUGCCGCGGAUCGGCCCGGUAUUACAGUACCUCUGGGAUCGGUCCACUCCCU